rnacentral:rRNA from 1 species
AGUGAACGCUGGCGGUAGGCCUAACACGUGCCAGUCGAACGGCAGCACAGUAAGAGCUUGCUCUUACGGGUGGCGAGUGGCGGACGGGUGAGGAAUACAUCGGAAUCUACCUUUUCGUGGGGGAUAACGUAGGGAAACUUACGCUAAUACCGCAUACGACCUACGGGUGAAAGCAGGGGAUCUUCGGACCUUGCGCGAUUGAAUGAGCCGAUGUCGGAUUAGCUAGUUGGCGGGGUAAAGGCCCACCAAGGCGACGAUCCGUAGCUGGUCUGAGAGGAUGAUCAGCCACACUGGAACUGAGACACGGUCCAGACUCCUACGGGAGGCAGCAGUGGGGAAUAUUGGACAAUGGGCGCAAGCCUGAUCCAGCCAUACCGCGUGGGUGAAGAAGGCCUUCGGGUUGUAAAGCCCUUUUGUUGGGAAAGAAAAGCAGCAGGUUAAUACCCCGCUGUUCUGACGGUACCCAAAGAAUAAGCACCGGCUAACUUCGUG